rnacentral:tRNA from 1 species
GGGGCGGUGGUCUAGCUGGUUAUGUCACCCUGCCUUGUAUCGUUAUCCGUAUACCUAGAACCUAUAACCUCUACUUAUAGGCAGGGAGGUCGGUGGUUCGAAUCCAUCCCGCUCCA